AUUGAACGCUGGCGGCAGGCUUAACACAUGCAAGUCGAACGAGUGGCGGACGGGUGAGUUAUGCAUGGGAAUCUGGCUUAUGGAGGGGGAUAACUACGGGAAACUGUAGCUACUACCGCGUAACAUAGGAUGAGGCCAAGUGGGAGUAGGUAGCUGGUGAGGUAAAGGCUCACCAAGCCGACGAUCCCUAGCUGGUCUGAGAGGAUGACCGGCCACACUGGGACUGAGACACGGCCCAGACUCCUACGGGAGGCAGCAGUGGGGAAUAUUGGGCAAUGGAGGCAAGCUGACGCAGCCAUGCCGCGUGAAUGAAGAAGGCCUUCGGGUUGUAAAGUUCUGUUGGUAGAGAGGCGUUAUCUACAGAGGAAGCACCGGCUAACUACGUGCCAGCAGCCGCGGUAAUAC
rnacentral:rRNA from 1 species